rnacentral:lncRNA from 1 species
CAACCACACUCCUGCCCGCCCAGCCUGGACCCCACACCUUAGGUUCUUCUGGUCCUGCCUGAAGAACCAUUUCCUGAGCUUUGGUGUGUGUACGCAAACGCGGAAAGAAACUGUAAGAGCAAAAGGAAGGAAAUCUGGCUGGGCUGAGAACCAGUUUCCAGGACCACAACCUUCCAGCGAGACACACCAAGCCCUAGUGGACCUUGCUCCCUAGUUAUCCCCGCAGGCAGACUGUGGAGGAGGAGCAAAGAUGCUGAAGAAAGAAGUAUCCAACCGUUUCUGCCAGGCAUGUGCUAGGCUCAGGGGCAGCGAGGCGAGGAGGACUGUGGCCCUCUCCUCUGCCUGCAGACAGAGCCCACACUGUAAAUAGAGGCACUCCCCAGAGCCAGACAGCUGCACGAACUCAGGGAGGAAGAAGAAAAAACUGAUUUCACAGAGGUGCCACGAGGUAAGAAGCCAUUCUUCCUGGAGUGAUCGUGUGUGCUUCCAGCUUCCUCAGCCUCAACCCUACUCUUAUCAGACUCCAAGAUCAAUCUUGGCUGCAAACUUUGCUGGUGAGCAGGGAGAAGCCGCCAGCGAUGGACAGCUCCACCUUUUCUCAUGGCUCAGCCUGUGGAGAAGGACUUUGCUCUCUCAGGUAUGGUUGCUGGUCUUGGAGAGACUCCUGGAGAGGCAAGGGCAGCUGCAGCUCACAGACCUUGGUGGCAGGCAUAUUGGGGGGCACUCAGCCAUGUGAACACCCCUGGAGGCUG